CUGUCAUACCCAUAUUUAAUGAUUGUACAGGUGGUAUAUUGACUCCUCAUCAAAUAACAAGCCAUGUCCUAACCUCAGUUAAUGAUUGUAUUCCCACUAUUUCUAGAGAGAUAACAAGCCUUGUCUUACCCAUAUUUAAUGAUUGUACAGG